CUGAAGGAAGAGAAAGAAAUUCGAUUCCGUAAGUAGCGGCGAGCGAACGCGGAUUAGCCCAAACCAAUAAAGUUUUCUUUAUUGGGGUUGCGGACAUAUCAUAACGGAGAGGUAUCGUAAUUGAAGAGGUUUGGAAAGACCCACCACAGAAGGUAAUAGUCCUGUAUGUUAAACGAGAAGACUUUAGAUAUGAUCCAGAGUACCACGGGACAC
rnacentral:rRNA from 1 species